rnacentral:lncRNA from 1 species
UUUACUCAUAUUCUUCUAUCCAAUACGCCAUAAAGGAUUGAUUAGGGUGUGGGUAUUGCAACUUACGCCGAAACAAACUAGAGCAAACAGCCAAACACACAUGGAUUUUUCUUGAGGGCAUUCCCCGAGUUCCUCGGUUAUUAUAAAUGAGGUGCGGUUUGCAUAGAGCCAAGGCUAUAAACAAUCAUAGUAGAGUCCACCUUUAAAUAGUGUCAAGAAAUUCGGUUCAACAUUAAAAAUAUUUGUGAUAGCCUUAAAAUAUAUUUUCAUCCCUAAUUAUAAAAUUUAAACCUCAAAAUUAGUGUAGAUCAAGCUGAUCUAUGAAAACUUGAAAACCUUGAAAAUUGAAGGUCCGAAAAUAUGUUACAAGAUGCACUAUUUUCAAAACUUGAGAUCCAUUUUUUUUAUAUGUCCAUGCAUCUUGAUGUUGAAAUGAUCGUUUUGAUUAUAUUUGAGCAUCAAAACAACCUCUUCUAGUGACAUUUUUUAUGUGGGCUCUAUUUUGAUUGUUUAGAGCCUCAACUCUAUAUGAAGUUUUCCCUUAUAAAUAUGAAAACUAGGAUGCAAUCGUAAUACCCCAUGCUGAAACCUUCAUUUAAUGUCUUUUGUCUCUUAUAAAGGUAGAUUUACGUCUUCCUAGCCUAUAUACCAUAGUUCUUUCUUUUAUUAGAUAUUUAUAAUUUAUGAAAAUAAUAAAAUUUAUUAAAAUAAGCCUCACUUUUCAACGAUUUAACAUUUUCCCCUUUUUCUUCUAUUCCACCUGAAAAUCAUAUGUAUUUUGAUAGGUAUUUGAGAUUAAAUCAAAAUAAAUGGAUAAAAUAUCAACUAGUUAAUAUCUUAGAUGCAUUUUGAUAUGGGUAAAGUUUAUAUAGAGUCGAGGCUCCUAGCAAUCAAAUUGGAGCCUACAUUAAAAAUUUCACUAGAAGAUGUUGUUUUGAUGUUCAAAUAUCCUCAAAUUAAUUAUCUCGACAUCAAGAUGCAUAGAUAUGAGAAAAAAAUAGAUUUCAAGUUUUGGAAAUGGUGUAUUUCGUAACGCAUUUGUGGACCAUCAAUUUUCAAGAUUUUCAAUUUUUCAUAUAUAUGUCGAUCUACACUUUUUUUGAAGCUUCAAACUUUAUAAAUAAAAUGAAAGUAUAUUUUAAGGCU